rnacentral:lncRNA from 1 species
GAAUCUGAUGUACAGUAGUUGUCGUUUGUUUAUGUAAUUUAUAUGUGUUUCUUUUUUCUCUGUUUUUUUAUAUAGAUUAGACCGUUGGUUUUCCCGUUUGAAUGGUUUUACACUAGUAAUUUUGGGGCCCUUUAUAUCUUGUUGUUCGGUGUGAGCCAAGGCUCCGUGUUGAAGACCGUACAUCGACCUCAUUGGCGGAUCCAGGAGGUGAGGGGGUUCCGGGGGUUGGAACCCCCCUUUUUUGGCAAAUCAAUGCAUUUGAAUGGGGACAUAUAGUUGGAACCCCCCUUUGUCCUGGGUUCGGAACCCC